rnacentral:rRNA from 1 species
UGGGGGAUAUUGCACAAUGGGCGAAAGCCUGAUGCAGCGACGCCGCGUGGGGGAUGAAGGCCUUCGGGUUGUAAACUUCUUUUGCUCUGAACAAGGCAUGCUAAUGGGUGUGUUGAGUGUAGGGGUUGAUUAGCGCCGGCUAACUACGUGCCAGCAGCCGCGGUAAUACGUAGGGCGCGAGCGUUGUCCGGAAUUAUUGGGCGUAAAGGGCUUGUAGGUGGCUGGUUGCGUCUGUCGUGAAAGCUCAUGGCUUAACUGUGGGUUUGCGGUGGGUACGGGCUGGCUUGAGUGCAGUAAGGGAGGCUGGAAUUCCUGGUGUAGCGGUGGAAUGCGCAGAUAUCAGGAGGAAUACCGGUGGCGAAGGCGGGUCUCUGGGCUGUUACUGACACUGAGGAGCGAAAGCAUGGGGAGCGAACAGG